ACAGGCCCUCAGUUUGUGCAGUAGGGACUGGAGCAGCCCCCCCCCCCAAACCCACACCCCUUCCAGGCCAAGGAUGGGGGCUUUAAGCUCCCUUUUGCCUUUUGUGUGUGUCCAAGCCUUUGCACAUGCUCUGCCUAGCCUGCCUGUCCCACACUUCACCUAGGUGACACCUCCUGUUUCCACCAGGAAAUCCUUCUGACUCCCACCUGAGGCUGAGUUGUGUGCUCCUCCGCUGGGACCGGGCCUGUCCUGGUCAUGCCCAGUAGCCAGCACAGAGGUGCUCCAUAAGUGUUUGAAGGAGGAAAUGACUGAGGGCUGACAGGUCUGGAGCCCCUGAGUGGACCUUACCUAUGAUGUGGGGCUCCGUGGGAUCCGUGGCAUCUCUGGAGUCUUUGGACAAAGGCAUCUGCAAGGAAAGUCAGGGUGGAAGCUUGCGGCCCCCACAGCCCCUACGGAGGAGCCCGGGAGAGAGAAAUGGGGAUUCCAGUGAAUUCAGGGCCCCUCUUGGGUCUGUCUACUGGGCCUCCCACAAUCACUCGAGCCCACCGCCUUCUUGCGUCUAUCUAACUGGGUGGCUUACUGCACCACUGCGCAUGCCUCACCCUUUCACUUUUUUCACCAGUCUUUGAUUGAGGUGCCACAGUGGACAUGGACAAGUCCCUCUUGAUGGAUACCUGGAUUGUUCCCAUUCUAAAUCUAGGUGGUGUCAAACAAGGUCCUACUGUAUAGCACAGGGAACUAUAUUCAAGAUCUUGUAAUAAAG